GAUAUUUUGGGGUAAGGCACAGGGGUCCAGCCCUCAGCUGAGUCAUGGGAACUGAGUGUUUCUUUGUUCUGCCUGCGGCAGGUUGGUGGUGAGCGCUUACAUGAGGCAGGAUAUGUGCUUGUGUC